rnacentral:lncRNA from 1 species
UCAAAAAGUUGGAAGCAUCAGAUUCUCUAUACUUCCGAUAUAUAACAUAGUAGCUCUAGACUAUAUAUAUAUAUACUGCUUAACAUAAGCAUAUUUGCAUGUACGAUUUGAAAGAUUUUUUCACACAGGUUUCUCUAUAAAUAUAUUCCCAUCUAUUUUGAUCUUUACCAAAAAUGACAUAAUUUCUACCCUAAACACAAUAACAUUCAAUCUACGAUCACGAUUAUUUUCCUGAAAGGAUUGUUUUGAAAAAUACAUUGCUAUUAAUACAAAAAACAAAAG